GAUGAACGCUGGCGGCGUGCUUAACACAUGCAAGUCGAACGAAGCACCUUAUUCUGAUUUCUUCGGAAUGAAAAAUUUGGUGACUGAGUGGCGGACGGGUGAGUAACGCGUGGGUAACCUGCCUCAUACAGGGGGAUAACAGUUAGAAAUGACUGCUAAUACCGCAUAAGACCACAGAACCGCAUGGUGCAGGGGUAAAAACUACGGUGGUAUGAGAUGGACCCGCGUCUGAUUAGGUAGUUGGUGGGGUAACGGCCUACCAAGCCGACGAUCAGUAGCCGACCUGAGAGGGUGACCGGCCACAUUGGGACUGAGACACGGCCCAAACUCCUACGGGAGGCAGCAGUGGGGAAUAUUGCACAAUGGGGGAAACCCUGAUGCAGCGACGCCGCGUGAGCGAUGAAGUAUUUCGGUAUGUAAAGCUCUAUCAGCAGGGAAGAAAAUGACGGUACCUGACUAAGAAGCACCGGCUAAAUACGUGCCAGCCGCCGCAGUAA
rnacentral:rRNA from 1 species